CUCUUGAGAGUCCCUUGGACUGCAAGGAGGUCCAACCAGUCCAUUCUGAAGGAGAUGAGCCCUGUGAUUUCUUGGAAGAAAUGAUGAUAAAGCUGAAACUCCAGUACUUUUGCCACCUCAUGUGAAGAGUUGACUCAUUGGAAAAGACUCUGAUGCUGGGAGGGAUUGGGGGCAGGAGGAGAAGGGGACAACAGAGGAUGAGAUGGCUGGAUGACAUCACUGACUCAAUGGACGUGAGUCUGAGUGAACUCCAGGAGUCGGUGAUGGACAGGGAGGCCUGGCGUCCUGCAAUUCAUGGGGUCUCAAAGAGUCGGACAUGACUGAGCGACUGAACUGAACUGAACUGAAAGGAAAUUAACCCUAAAUAUUCUUCGGAAGGACUAAUGCUGAAGCUGAAGCUCCAAUACUUUGGCCACCUGAUGUGAGGAGAUAAUUCAUUGGAAAAGAUCCUGAUGCUGGGAAAGAAAGGCAGGAGGAAAAGAGGAUGACAGAAGAUGAAAUGGUCAGGUGGCAUCUCUGACAUGAGUUUGAGCAAACUCUGGGAGAUGGUGAAGUACAGGGAAACCUGGUGUGCUGCAGUCUAUGGAGUCACAAAGAGUCAGACAUGACUGAGCUGCUGGGCAACAACAAACCAGGGCACAGGGGUGGAUGGUCAGCAGGAAGGUCGGGCCUUCCAGCCUGAGUCAUCAUCUCUUCCUGCUGGCAUCACAGGAACACAGAAAUAUCCUGUUUGGUCCUUGCUGUUUAUCACCCUCAUACCCUCUGCAAGGUUUCAGGAACCUACUAAUUUUCGUAUAUCUGGGCACAAGGCCAGGGAUCCAAGCUUCUUCUUCUCUAGGGCUGUAAGGACCCAUGAUGCACCCAAGGAAUCCGCCCCCUCUUCUGCUGAGGGUUAAGAGCCUGGACAACGUUUCCUGUGCAGCCUGGGCCAGGAAGCCAAGGGCUACUGCAAAGUCAGUGAGAAGGACCCCGGGAUGUUCGAGGGCCCACUGCCUGUGGAGGAAGGCAGGGUGGCAAGUCUUUGGUAGACACAGGUCCGGAAUCUGUCCUCCAGAGUUAUCACUGAGGGAAAAGGAUGGAGAAUAAAAUUUAAACAGCAUAGGACUAUGUCUGGCACUUGCUUUUUCUAAGACUGGAACUGAAUUUUAGAUUGUGAGGACCCCCAGAGCCUACCAUCACGCAGAUGAGGAAGUGAGAACUGGGGAGGCGCAGUCUCACCCAGGAGAAUGGCAGGGAUUGCAGAGUCUAGGGUCUAAACACACGCCCACCAGAGUCUGGGGGUCCCAGCUCUGCAUCCAGUGGCCUCCCCACAGCUACCCCAGGUGGUGUCAGAUUUCUUAUAUUUGAUUCUAUUGGACAGAAACAGGAGGAGGGGAGACUUAAGUAAUCCCUGGCUGUCCUCAUUGUUUAGAUCUAGAACCCCAACAUUCUAAAGGGGGAAAUGACACUCUUUCCAGGUGAAAAUCAACCAAGACAUAAAUGUGAAGACAGACAUUUUGGCUUUAGGUGAUUUCUACCCCAAUCCCAUCCAUGAGCCAGAUUAGAAUCACGGAACAUCUACCCAAGCAUCAUAGGUGUUCUAUGAGAUCCUCUCAGAUGAC
rnacentral:lncRNA from 1 species